rnacentral:rRNA from 1 species
GACGUAGGUGGCAAGCGUUGUCCGGAAUUACUGGGUGUAAAGGGCGUGUAGGCGGGACUUUAAGUCAGAUGUGAAAUACCCGAGCUUAACUCGGGAACUGCAUUUGAAACUGAGGUUCUUGAGUGAUGGAGAGGAAAGCGGAAUUCCUAGUGUAGCGGUGAAAUGCGUAGAUAUUAGGAGGAACACCAGUGGCGAAGGCGGCUUUCUGGACAUUAACUGACGCUGAGGCGCGAAAGCGUGGGGAGCAAACAGG